UGCGUAGGCGGAAUGAUAAGUUAGUGGUGAAAUCCUGCGGCUCAACCGUAGAACUGCCAUUGAUACUGAUAUUCUUGAAUGUAGUUGAGGUAGGCGGAAUGUGUAAUGUAGCGGUGAAAUGCUUAGAUAUUACACAGAACACCGAUUGCGAAGGCAGCUUACUAAACUAUGAUUGACGCUGAGGCACGAAAGCGUGGGGAGCGAACAGGAUUAGAUACCCUGGUAGUCC
rnacentral:rRNA from 1 species